rnacentral:siRNA from 1 species
UCACCAUCACCACCACUCGACUA